rnacentral:rRNA from 1 species
AACGAACGCUGGCGGCAGGCUUAACACAUGCAAGUCGAGCGCCCCGCAAGGGGAGCGGCAGACGGGUGAGUAACGCGUGGGAAUCUACCCAUCUCUACGGAAUAACGCAUGGAAACGUGUGCUAAUACCGUAUACGUCCUUCGGGAGAAAGAUUUAUCGGAGAUGGAUGAGCCCGCGUUGGAUUAGCUAGUUGGUGGGGUAAAGGCCUACCAAGGCGACGAUCCAUAGCUGGUCUGAGAGGAUGAUCAGCCACACUGGGACUGAGACACGGCCCAGACUCCUACGGGAGGCAGCAGUGGGGAAUAUUGGACAAUGGGCGCAAGCCUGAUCCAGCCAUGCCGCGUGAGUGAUGAAGGCCCUAGGGUUGUACAGCUCUUUCACCGGUGAAGAUAAUGACGGUAACCGGAGAAGAAGCCCCGGCUAACUUCGCGCCAGCCGCCGCAGUAAUAC